rnacentral:rRNA from 1 species
UACGUAGGGUGCGAGCGUUAAUCGGAAUUACUGGGCGUAAAGCGUGCGCAGGCGGUCUUGUAAGCCAGAUGUGAAAUCCCCGGGCUCAACCUGGGAAUGGCAUUUGGGACUGCAAGGCUGGAGUACGGCAGAGGAGACUGGAAUUCCUGGUGUAGCAGUGAAAUGCGUAGAGAUCAGGAGGAAUACCGAUGGCGAAGGCAGGUCUCUGGGCUGAUACUGACGCUCAUGCACGAAAGCGUGGGGAGCAAACAGG